rnacentral:rRNA from 1 species
AUUGAACGCUGGCGGCAGGCCUAACACAUGCAAGUCGAACGAGUGGCGGACGGGUGAGUAAUGUAUGGGAAACUGCCUGAUGGAGGGGGAUAACUACUGGAAACGGUAGCUAAUACCGCAUACAAUCAACUAUAGCCAGAUGGCAUGAGCUUGUUGGUGGGGUAACGGCUCACCAACGCGACGAUCCCUAGCUGGUCUGAGAGGAUGACCAGCCACACUGGAACUGAGACACGGUCCAGACUCCUACGGGAGGCAGCAGUGGGGAAUAUUGCACAAUGGGCGCAAGCCUGAUGCAGACAUGCCGCGUGUAUGAAGAAGGCCUUCGGGUUGUAAAGUACUUUCAGCGGGGAGGCGUUACCCGCAGAAGAAGCACCGGCUAACUCCGUGCCAGCAGCUGCGGUAAUAC